rnacentral:rRNA from 1 species
GAUGAACGCUGGCGGCGUGCCUAACACAUGCAAGUCGAGCGGCAGCGAGGGGUGCUUGCACCCUGUCGGCGAGCGGCGGACGGCUGAGUAACGCGUGGGAACGUGCCCCAAAGUGAGGAAUAACUGCCCGAAAGGGUAGCUAAUACCGCAUAUUAUCUUCGGAUCAAAGGAUUUAUCCGCUUUGGGAGCGGCUCGCGUCGGAUUAGGUAGUUGGUGAGGUAAUGGCUCACCAAGCCGACGAUCCGUAGCUGGUCUGAGAGGAUGACCAGCCAGACUGGAACUGAGACCCGGUCCAGACCCCCAGGGGAGGCAGCAGGGAGGAACCUUCCACAAUGGGGGAAAGCCUGAUGGGGCAACGCCGGGGGCAGGACGAAGGCCUUCGGGUUGUAAACUGUUUUUAAAAGGGAGGAAUAUGACGGUAAUUUAUGAAAAAGGAUCGGCAAACUACGU